GGGUAACCUGCCUGUAAGACUGGGAUAACUCCGGGAAACCGGGGCUAAUACCGGAUGCUUGAUUGAACCGCAUGGUUCAAUCAUAAAAGGUGGCUUUUAGCUACCACUUACAGAUGGACCCGCGGCGCAUUAGCUAGUUGGUGAGGUAACGGCUCACCAAGGCGACGAUGCGUAGCCGACCUGAGAGGGUGAUCGGCCACACUGGGACUGAGACACGGCCCAGACUCCUACGGGAGGCAGCAGUAGGGAAUCUUCCGCAAUGGACGAAAGUCUGACGGAGCAACGCCGCGUGAGUGAUGAAGGUUUUCGGAUCGUAAAACUCUGUUGUUAGGGAAGAACAAGUACCGUUCGAAUAGGGCGGCACCUUGACGGUACCUAACCAGAAAGCCACGGCUAACUACGUGCCAGCAGCCGCGGUAAUACGUAGGUGGCAAGCGUUGUCCGGAAUUAUUGGGCGUAAAGCGCGCGCAGGCGGUUUCUUAAGUCUGAUGUGAAAGCCCCCGGCUCAACCGGGGAGGGUCAUUGGAAACUGGGGAACUUGAGUGCAGAAGAGGAGAGUGGAAUUCCACGUGUAGCGGUGAAAUGCGUAGAGAUGUGGAGGAACACCAGUGGCGAAGGCGACUCUCUGGUCUGUAACUGACGCUGAGGCGCGAAAGCG
rnacentral:rRNA from 1 species